AAGCAGCACUGAGCUGGGUGUGGGCAUAGCCACUGAUGGCAAUACGGUCUUUGUGGUUGGGCAGUACCGCCCAGCUGGUAACAUUACCAAUGCAGGAUACUAUCAGAAAAAUGUCCUCCCAAAAGGAACAGAGUAAAACUUUCCCAGUGUCAGAGAGGGAGCUGCAGCAGACAACAGACCUCAGUGCCCAGAGAAAAUGACCUGGACCGUAUUGGACCCAUCACAUGUGGUUUCCUUCAAUGUUCCGAGAUUGAACACCAAAAAAUACGCCUGUUGCAUCAAACACGAUUUUACACAACUGUCUAGUCAAAUACUGUCUAAGUAGAAUUGGUGUUUUGAUCAUCAUCAGUGAAUAAUUUUUGAGUAAUGUUUCAAUGAUUUGAGUGCAGUACAAAUAAAAACAAAAGUCUUUGUGCUUGUUGUCCCCACACGAUAAUAACUGAAGAA